CGAUACAAUGUUUUUCUUCGACGCGCGACGGUCGCGCGCCAAGAACAGUAGUAAAUUACACGUUGGGGGAGGCACGCUAGCCUUUCGUGUUUGGGGAAACGCUUCGAGUCUCUCUGCUUUCGAAUAUCGUCUUCGCCAACCAGACGAUCUUUUUCCCACAGUUAUGGAAAGUUAAUGUCGGCAAUUUCCUUCCAGCGUCAACCUAUUUUGCGUGGUCGUCGGUGCCACAAGUGGAUGGCCUCCUCUGGUGUAUUUUACUCGCUUAUUGUCGUUCGAUCGCGCAACAAGUUGCUCCCAGUUCUCGGGAGCGUGUAUACGUUCCAAAGAGGCCACAGUUUGCACGCCACGAUCGUACACGUUGAAUGAGAGGCAUUGAAAGAGUUCUCGCGACUGGCUGGAUGCGGCAACGCGAACGAUUAAUCAUUUCUGGAUCUUUGUCGUGACAUGGAUGAAACCAAGACGUUUGCUACCUAAUUUUAUGGACGUCGUACGAUGUCAUCUUUAUGGCGCCAUUAGGUUGCGUUUCGCCGUGACGUCACUACUUGACGUGCUAAUAAAAUAAUCGUGGUGCUCAGCCUAGUUUAGCAUAAAAUCAAGCUUUAUGCCUCACGAAUGCCACUGUAAUCCGACACGCCACCCUCUGAAACGUCGACCCGUUUGGCUGCGUCUGCAAUCGUGCUUCGUACGCGAUAACUAGAAGAAUCGACGUGGACACUAAGUGGAGCAGGCGUCUCCGCGGACACACCUUUGCUUCCUUUAAAGAGUAAGGAUAGACAGAAGGGCAUAUUGGAAAUAUGACGUUUUCGAAGAAUAAUUGAAACAUCGAGACGAACCAGAGAACAGGUUUUCAAAACUUCAUGUAUUCCAUUACAAAUGGGUGUAACAUGGAUUGAAAUAUUUUGAGAUGUACUCAAAAAGCUUCCUUCUGGUUUGCGCAUUCCUUCUUGGAAAUGCAGACCAAACCUAACUAUUAGUAAUUAUUCACCCGAAUAGUGAAUCAACACAUACGUUGUUACAUGUUAGUAAAUAAUAAUUCGAACAAGGGAUGAAUAUUUAUUUGUUCAUGUCGGUUAUUUGAUUAUAAUAAUAUACACUGCCGUCGAAUAAAAGGAAAAUUGGGAAUUUAUGUAAUAUUCAAUUCCUUUCAUUAACAAAGAACAGCAAUUAUAAAUACCUGUGAGGAGGAAUUGUUUUGGUA